CCUCGAGAUAGGCGAUGCGGGCGCGCCACUGGCCGGUGGGCGCCAGAGUGAGCGUCACGCGCUGCGCUUCGCAGUUCAGUUCGGCGUUCAGGCA
rnacentral:tRNA from 1 species